ensembl:lncRNA
CACCAAUUGCACGUUCACGGACACUUUUAUUGUAGUCGAAACUGCUUACAGAACCAAAACUGAGCUUCAGCAAAUACCUGAAAGACUUUCAGAAGGGAACGAUGGCCAACAGUGCUCUGUGGGCUUGUGCUGCAUUCCCAGGCUGUGUGUUGCUGACGGCGUUCUGAUGCUGCUGUGUUCUUCUCCAGGAGGAUUAGACACUUCCUGAAUUACAUGUUGUCGGUCAUGAGGAGGUUUGUUUGCAUCUGAAUACUCUCAUGUUCAGAACGAGCAAUAAGAUGGGAGACUUUAUCAGAACUGGCCACUAAUUAACAGAAAUCACAGUAACUAUUGCAUAGAGGGAUCUUGUUAAAUCGAAAAGCAGAGUGAUCAGAGUGGCAAAGUGCUAAUUAAGCUCUGAAUGUGGGGGCUGCAUCAACAGAGCACAGGGAUGAUCCUUCGCUGUCUGUUUACAUCACUGCGGUGCAUUCUGGGAGGUCACCCCACAACCUGGGGCAGGCGUACUGUUCUGCUGCUCCGGGAAAAAAAAAAAUGUGUGGAGGGGCAGAGGAUCAGACAGACAGGAGUAACCAAGACUCAUUUCUACACAGAUGGACAUGUAAAAAGAAGCGGCGCGCGAUCGUCUGUACUUGCAGAUUAUUCCUCGCCAGGAAAAGCAUAGGAACCGACAGAUAAAGAGGGAGAGAACUUCCACGCUUUUCUUUUUUUCCAGUCCUGCUCUGACCUCUUGACAGUUCUCAUCCCUCGUUCUGCUCCUCCGUCUCUCCCUCUUUCUCUUAACAUUCCUUUAUCAUGACAGUGUUUCGUGAAAGAUAGGGCCAAGGCUUUGUGACUGUGUUUGAUGGAAAUUAGACAAUCGUUCAUUAGUGAGUUAGAUAAAGUCUCUCCCUUCCUCCGACCCGG